rnacentral:rRNA from 1 species
AUUGAACGCUGGCGGCAGGCCUAACACAUGCAAGUCGAGCGGAUGAAGGGAGCUUGCUCCUGGAUUCAGCGGCGGACGGGUGAGUAAUGCCUAGGAAUCUGCCUGGUAGUGGGGGAUAACGUCCGGAAACGGGCGCUAAUACCGCAUACGUCCUGAGGGAGAAAGUGGGGGAUCUUAGGACCUCACGCUAUCAGAUGAGCCUAGGUCGGAUUAGCUAGUUGGUGGGGUAAAGGCCUACCAAGGCGACGAUCCGUAACUGGUCUGAGAGGAUGAUCAGUCACACUGGAACUGAGACACGGUCCAGACUCCUACGGGAGGCAGCAGUGGGGAAUAUUGGACAAUGGGCGAAAGCCUGAUCCAGCCAUGCCGCGUGUGUGAAGAAGGUCUUCGGAUUGUAAAGCACUUUAAGUUGGGAGGAAGGGCAGUAAGUUAAUACCUUGCUGUUUUGACGUUACCAGCAGAAUAAGCACCGGCUAACUUCGUG